AUUGAACGCUGGCGGCAUGCCUUACACAUGCAAGUCGAACGGCAGCACGGGAGCAAUCCUGGUGGCGAGUGGCGAACGGGUGAGUGAUACAUCGGAACGUGCCCAGUAGUGGGGGAUAGCCCGGCGAAAGCCGGAUUAAUACCGCAUACGACCUGAGGGUGAAAGCGGGGGAUCGCAAGACCUCGCGCUAUUGGAGCGGCCGAUGUCGGAUUAGCUAGUUGGUGGGGUAAAGGCUCACCAAGGCAACGAUCCGUAGCUGGUCUGAGAGGACGACCAGCCACACUGGGACUGAGACACGGCCCAGACUCCUACGGGAGGCAGCAGUGGGGAAUUUUGGACAAUGGGCGCAAGCCUGAUCCAGCCAUGCCGCGUGCGGGAAGAAGGCCUUCGGGUUGUAAACCGCUUUUGUCAGGGAAGAAACGCUCUGGGCUAAUACCCCGGGGUAAUGACGGUACCUGAAGAAUAAGCACCGGCUAACUACGUGCCAGCCGCCGCUGUAAUAC
rnacentral:rRNA from 1 species